GAUGAACGCUGACAGAAUGCUUAACACAUCAGCCAUUGAUUGGUGGCGGACGGGUGAGUAACGCGUAAAGAACUAACUCACAGUUAGGGACAAACUUUGGAAACGAAUGCUAAUACCUAAUACUGUGAGGGAGCUUUGCGUCCCAUUAGCUCGUUGGAGAGGUAACGGCUCACCAAGGCGAGGAUGGGGAGCCGGCCUGAGAGGGUGAUCGGCCACAAGGGGACUGAGACACGGCCCUGACUCCUAUGGGAGGCAGCAGUGGGGAAUAUUGGACAAUGGACCAAAGUCUGAUCCAGCAAUUCUGUGUGCACGAUGAAGUUUUCGGAAGGAAAAGUGCUUUCAGUUGGGAAGCGGUACCAACAGAAGAAGUGAAGGCUAAAUACGUGCCAGCCGCCGCGGUAAUAC
rnacentral:rRNA from 1 species